GGCGGCAGGCCUAACACAUGCAAGUCGAGCGGUAACACAGAGGAGCUUGCUCCUUGGGUGACGAGCGGCGGACGGGUGAGUAAUGCCUGGGGAUCUGCCCGAUAGAGGGGGAUAACUACGGGAAACUGUAGCUAAUACCGCAUAAUGUCUACGGACCAAAGUGGGGGCUCUUCGGACCUCAUGCUAUCGGAUGAACCCAGGUGGGAUUAGCUAGUUGGUGAGGUAAUGGCUCACCAAGGCGACGAUCUCUAACUGGUUUGAGAGAAUGACCAGUCACACUGGAACUGAGACACGGUCCAGACUCCUACGGGAGGCAGCAGUGGGGAAUAUUGCACAAUGGGCGCAAGCCUGAUGCAGCCAUGCCGCGUGUGUGAAGAAGGCCUUCGGGUUGUAAAGCACUUUCAGCGGGGAGGAAGGGUCACUAGUUAAUACCUAGUGGCAUUGACGUUACUCGCAGAAGAAGCACCGGCUAACUCCGUGCCAGCAGC
rnacentral:rRNA from 1 species